rnacentral:lncRNA from 1 species
CUUCAAUAAAAACUGACACAGUUUGAAUCACAUGUCAAGCUCAUACACAUCCCACACCAUCUAGAAUUAAAUGAAUACACAGUGUCCAUUCCAAGAAAUAUCACCUCACACCUGUUAGAAUGGCUAUCAUCAAAAAGAUGAGAGGAGUUCCCACUGUGGCACAGUGGAUUAAUGACCUGGCUUGUCUCUGUGGAGGCACCAGUUUGAUCCCAGCCCAUCACAGUGGCUUAAGGAUCCAGUGUUGCUACAGCUGUGGCAUAGGUCAUAUCUCUGGUUCAGAUUCAAUCCCUGGCCUGGGAACUUCCAUAUGCCAUGAGUGUAGCCGAAAAAGAAGAAGACAAAAAAAAAAAAAAAAAAAAAAAAAAGGAAAAAAAAAACAAUGGAUAAAAAGGAAAACUUGUGUCCUAUUGGUAGGACUGUAAAUUGGCACAGCCAUUAUGGAAACAGCACAGAGGUUCCUCAAAUAAUUAAAAACAGAACUAUCAUAUGAUCCAGCAAUUCCUCUUCUGGGUAUAUAUCUGAAGAAAAUGAAAUCACUGUGUCAAAGAGAUAUCUGUACCACCACAACCACCCCAACCCCCAAACCAUCCCAUGUUCAUUGCAGCAUUACUUAUAAUAACUAAGACAUCAUAGAAACAACCUAACUGUCCAUCAACAGAUGAAUGGAUACAGAAAACGUAGUAUUAAAAAAAUGCACGUGUUCCCUUUAUGGCAUAGCAGGUUAAGGAUCUGGCAUCAUCACUGCAGCAGCUAGGGUCGCUGCUAUGGUGCAGGUUCAAUGCCUGGCCUGGGAACUUCCACAUGCUGCAGGCAAGGCAAAAGAAAGAAAAUGGGAGUUCCCAUCAUGGCACAGCAGAAACAAAUCUGACUAGGAACCAUGAGGUUGUGGGUUCGGGGGAAAAAAAAGAAAGAAAAUGUAGUAUAUACAUAUAUAUACAUAACAAUGAAGUACUUUUCAGCCUUAAAAAAGAAGGAAACCCUGCCAUUUGCAACAGCAUGAGUGGACCUUGAGGGAAUUAUACUACUCGAAAUAAGUAAAAGAAAGACAAAUACAUUAUGAUCUCACUUAUACAU